AGAGCGAACGCUGGCGGCAGGCUUAACACAUGCAAGUCGAGCGGGCGUAGCAAUACGUCAGCGGCAGACGGGUGAGUAACGCGUGGGAACGUACCUUUUGGUUCGGAACAACACAGGGAAACUUGUGCUAAUACCGGAUAAGCCCUUACGGGGAAAGAUUUAUCGCCGAAAGAUUGGCCCGCGUCUGAUUAGCUAGUUGGUGAGGUAACGGCUCACCAAGGCGACGAUCAGUAGCUGGUCUGAGAGGAUGAUCAGCCACAUUGGGACUGAGACACGGCCCAAACUCCUACGGGAGGCAGCAGUGGGGAAUAUUGGACAAUGGGCGCAAGCCUGAUCCAGCCAUGCCGCGUGAGUGAUGAAGGCCCUAGGGUUGUAAAGCUCUUUUGUGCGGGAAGAUAAUGACGGUACCGCAAGAAUAAGCCCCGGCUAACUUCGUGCCAGCAGCCGC
rnacentral:rRNA from 1 species